UGGCAAACGGGUGAGUAACACGUGGGUAACCUGCCCAUCAGAAGGGGGUAACACUUGGAAACAGGUGCUAAUACCGUAUAACACUAUUUUCCGCAUGGAAGAAAGUUGAAAGGCGCUUUUGCGUCACUGAUGGAUGGACCCGCGGUGCAUUAGCUAGUUGGUGAGGUAACGGCUCACCAAGGCAACGAUGCAUAGCCGACCUGAGAGGGUGAUCGGCCACACUGGGACUGAGACACGGCCCAGACUCCUACGGGAGGCAGCAGUAGGGAAUCUUCGGCAAUGGACGAAAGUCUGACCGAGCAACGCCGCGUGAGUGAAGAAGGUUUUCGGAUCGUAAAACUCUGUUGUUAGAGAAGAACAAGGAUGAGAGUAAACUUUCAUCC
rnacentral:rRNA from 1 species